rnacentral:rRNA from 1 species
GUAGGGUGCGAGCGUUAUCCGGAAUCAUUGGGCGUAAAGAGCUCGUAGGCGGUUCAGCAAGUCGGCUGUGAAAUUCCGAGGCUCAACCUCGGAACUGCAGUCGAUACUGUUGUGACUCGAGUCCGGUAGAGGAGAAUGGAAUUCCCGGUGUAGCGGUGAAAUGCGCAGAUAUCGGGAGGAACACCAGUAGCGAAGGCGGUUCUCUGGGCCGGCACUGACGCUGAGGAGCGAAAGCGUGGGGUAGCAAACAGGAUUAGAUACCCUGGUAGUCCACGCCGUAAACGUUGGAUACUAGGUGUGGCGUUCCGACCAACGGUCGCCGUGCCGAAGCUAACGCAUCAAGUAUCCCCGCCUGGGAGUACGGCCGCAAGGCUA